rnacentral:rRNA from 1 species
AGCGAACGUUUGCGGCGGGCCUAACACAUGCAAGUCGAACGGGCAGGGGCAACCCUGUCAGUGGCGCACGGGUGCGUAACACGUGGGUAAUCAACCCUUUGGACUGGGACAACCCGGGGAAACUCGAGCUAAUACCGGAUGUGGCGUGGCGGUCCUCGGACUGCUCCGCGAAAGCUCCGCAAGGGGCACCAGAGGACGAGCCCGCGUCCCAUCAGCUAGUUGGUGAGGUAAUGGCUCACCAAGGCGAAGACGGGUAGCUGGUCUGAGAGGAUGAUCAGCCACACUGGAACUGAGACACGGUCCAGACUCCUACGGGAGGCAGCAGUGGGGAAUAUUGCGCAAUGGGCGAAAGCCUGACGCAGCCACGCCGCGUGUGCGAUGAAGGUCUUCGGAUCGUAAAGCACUGUGGGGGGAGAAGAAACAAGCCGGUGAAGAGCCGGCCCUGACGGUAUCCCCUUAGCAAGCACCGGCUAACUCCGUGCCAGCAGCCGCGGUAAAGUG